rnacentral:lncRNA from 1 species
GCAUUUCGGUCCACUCUGCAAUUUAUUUUUUUUAAAUCCAGCUCAGAGCUGGGACAGACUAUUAUGACUCACCAGCUCUUUUUAAAGGACGGCUGCUUAGAUGCUCAGAAGGUAGAAAAUGUCUUUCAGGCAAAAGACUUGCUUCUGCUGCAGGUGGCUGGCUUUCUGGCUAAUUCUGUCCACACUGGAAGGGCAAGAUUCAAGCCUCCUCCCUCAUGAAGAAUACAGCAACGUCAAGCAUGAACCUGGCACAAAGGGGGAUGAACACAGCAACAGCCCCGAGUUCCCAGCUGGAUGCAGGCCAAGAAGACUAACAAAGCGAUCCAACUCGUUUGUAACACCACCCAGAGACGUGAAUAGUGAAGAAUCCAACUGUCAAAUUAUUCCAAUCACGACGACAGUGAAGCCAACCACUAGACUAAGGACCACAGCCAAGAACCCCAAGAAGGCAACAACUUACUGCACAAGAGCAACGCUACCACGAUGCUGGCCUUGGAGACAACUUUUUUGUCCCUACUAUCACCCAUGUCAAAAGCGCCCCCUCUAUUAUCCUGUUAGAAGAGGCACCCAUGGUUAUCAGAGUAACACAUCUGAGAAAUCUCUGAGUCUGAGCGAGGAGUCCUCAGAAGAGAAGAGAAGGAAAAGAGACACACUUAGAAUAGUCUGGAAGGGAGCGAGAAAUUCUGAGAAGAAUGAGUAAGGAUUGCCCACUAAGUAUAUAGUUAACUUCAACGAAGGCAACCUUAAAGAAAUGGGCUUAAAACCUGCGCUUCACCUGCAGGGACAUUAGCAGAAGCGGGUAGACCUGCCGGUGGGGUUUCCUACUUUCCAAACCUGAGAUGAAGGUGUAAGUAAGCGAGUAAACACAAUUCCUUUCUGAUUUGAGGCCUUUCUGCACUUGCCUGCCCUGAUCUGGAACUGUGGGUCUGGAUUUGGCAGGGGUGUGUCCGGAUCUGGUCUGGAUCUGCGCCCCCGCCAUGAGCUUCAGAGUCAGACCCAACGGCCACCCAGGGGACCCAUUUUGGGGGCGCAACAAGAUGCACUGCUGAAACAGGCCCCCCACGACCUCUUUAUUGAGGUCUACUGGGAUUCUAGAUUUAAAAUGGAUCAGAAGGUCGUUUGGGGUCUUUCGAUCCAGAUUACACUUCAUCUUGCACCGAUGGAGCGUACUAACGGGGUCAGGGCCUCUCUAGUCUGCGCAAGCAUGAGGACAAAGGAGGCCCAGGAGAGGGCUANGCAGUGGUCUAAUCCAGAACAAAGGUAAGUGCAGAAAGGCCCUUUGUUAGAAAAAGUUCUUCGGUAAGCAUCAACAUUUAACUGUACGGUAUUUCUACUGGAAAUUAUAAGAUCCUGUAAGGAAAUUAUUUGACAUGAAACGUUAUGAAAUUUGUGGAACAGCUAUGGUGUAUUGAUUUCAUUA